UAGGGAAUAUUGCACAAUGGGGGAAACCCUGAUGCAGCGACGCCGCGUGAAGGAAGAAGUAUCUCGGUAUGUAAACUUCUAUCAGCAGGGAAGACAAUGACGGUACCUGACUAAGAAGCCCCGGCUAACUACGUGCCAGCAGCCGCGGUAAUACGUAGGGGGCAAGCGUUAUCCGGAUUUACUGGGUGUAAAGGGAGCGUAGACGGAUCUGCAAGUCUGGAGUGAAAAGCCCCGGGGUCGCAUCCCAAGGCCCAGGCACGCUUGGCAAUUGGAACUGUGGAUCUAGAGUGCCGGAGAGGUAAGCGGAAUUCCUAGUGUAGCGGUGAAAUGCGUAGAUAUUAGGAGGAACACCAGUGGCGAAGGCGGCUUACUGGACGGUAACUGACGUUGAGGCUCGAAAGCGUGGGGAGCAAACAGGAUUAGAUACCC
rnacentral:rRNA from 1 species